rnacentral:rRNA from 1 species
UACGGGGGGAGCAAGCGUUGUUCGGAUUUACUGGGCGUAAAGGGCGCGUAGGCGGCCAGCACAAGUCAGUUGUGAAAUCUCCGAGCUUAACUCGGAAAGGUCAACUGAUACUGUGCGGCUAGAGUGCGGAAGGGGCAACUGGAAUUCUUGGUGUAGCGGUGAAAUGCGUAGAUAUCAAGAGGAACACCUGCGGCGAAGGCGGGUUGCUGGGCCGACACUGACGCUCAUGCACGAAAGCGUGGGGAGCAAACAGG